GCAUUGGUGGUUCAGUGGUAGAAUUCUUGCCUGCCACGCGGGAGGCCCGGAUUCGGAUCCCAGCUCAUGCA
rnacentral:tRNA from 1 species